AUGGAUGGUGUUCCAUCAGGGAGACUUGGAGCCUGGCCAGGCGUGGGACAGGCACGGGGGGAAAAUGCAUUUGGUUUGGUUCAGGGCAAAGCAAGGUAGAUGUAGAUUCUGUCACCUUAGCUAAGCUGGAACAACACGUCCCAGAAUUCCUUUUCCUGCAGAGUUCUGGGUUAGCAGAGGCCAAAAGAAAUCUUUUGUGUGAGGCCUGGAAGGCGGAAGUGAAGCAGCAGCGUGUUCUUUUUACGUUGGAAGGCAGUGGCUCAGGUGUGUCGUCACAGAUCUGCUGGCUCCCCUCGCAGGUGCGAGCCUGCUGGGUCUCCUCUUUUGUCUUCUCCAACUCUCGGGCCAGGUGUGAGCUUAGCUUUACCGUCUGCCCUAGGAGCUUCAGGCUGUAGCUCCAGGCACAGGAGAAACAGCAUCCUGCAGAGUACUAAACCAGCUGCCACAUCCGUGCAGGGUCAAAUCCCUACAAUAAAGGUGUCGUGUUGUAGAAAGAAGUCUUCUCAACGGAGGGUGGAGAGGCUGGAGCACCCCUUGGAGGAGCUGGAACAGGCUGUGUGUUGCUGUGAUGCUGAAAGCUGUGCCACCGGGAUCUCAAAUGGCAGCAGGGUCGCCCAUGGUGGACAGGUUUCAGAGGACUUUCCAGACUAAGACAGACAAGGAAGAAGGACCUGGCCACCCACUUCCGAAAAAACUGGCCAUGAAGACCCUGUGAAUAACAGUGGAGCUUGUCUGCUACAGAGCCGGAAGUUAUGUGCUCGAGACUCAGAUAGGAUCUGAUUCAUCAGAGGAUACCGGACCUCUCACCCAGGACCCCAAGUGUGCACCGUUGAAGCCCUUGUCUUCACCUCCGACUGCCUGAUCGGGGAUCUGUUGCUGUAGGCCAGAAUCCUUCAUGGUGGUAUUGCUUAAACAACUUCGAGCCCAGACCACUCGACUGAGUAAGGAUUUCCAGAAUUAAUGGAGAAGCUGAUGGGUUCAUAAAACUGCUAACCCAAGGUCAAGCAGAACAAGAAUUAAUUAAAUGGGACUGAAUGAACUGAUGAAGAGUGAUUAUGGUUUUAAUCUGGAACAUUCCUGGUUCUUUAAUGUUCUAUUUUUCAGAUAUAAGGAACCUCUUUCCUUUGUCUCUUAAUGUAUC
rnacentral:lncRNA from 1 species